GUCCUUGUCGAUUAGUGGUUAGAUCAUCACGUUGUGGCCGUGAAGACGGAGGCUCGAAUCCUCCCUGGGACA
rnacentral:tRNA from 6 species